GAUGAACGCUAGCGGGAGGCCUAACACAUGCAAGCCGAGCGGUAUUGUUUCUUCGGAAAUGAGAGAGCGGCGUACGGGUGCGGAACACGUGUGCAACCUGCCUUUAUCUGGGGGAUAGCCUUUCGAAAGGAAGAUUAAUACUCCAUAAUAUAUUGAACGGCAUCGUUUAAUAUUGAAAGCUCCGGCGGAUAGAGAUGGGCACGCGCAAGAUUAGCUAGUUGGUGAGGUAACGGCUCACCAAGGCGAUGAUCUUUAGGGGGCCUGAGAGGGUGAUCCCCCACACUGGUACUGAGACACGGACCAGACUCCUACGGGAGGCAGCAGUGAGGAGUAUUGGUCAAUGGGUGCAAGCCUGAACCAGCCAUCCCGCGUGAAGGACGACUGCCCUAUGGGUUGUAAACUUCUUUUGUAUAGGGAUAAACCUACCCUCGUGAGGGUAGCUGAAGGUACUAUACGAAUAAGCUCCGGCUAACUUCGUGCCAGCAGCCGCAGUAA
rnacentral:rRNA from 1 species